rnacentral:rRNA from 1 species
UGUGUCUCCGGUAGAGAGGACGCGGUAAGACUGGGGGGGCAGGAGUUAGACGGAGUGAUUGGGUUGAAGAGGUUCGUAGGCGGGUGGGUAUGUCAGUGGGUAAAACUAACAACUUAACUGUGAAACGGCAAGUGAUACGGCAGGGCUAGAGUAAGGUAGAAGUAGCUGGAAUAAGUAGUGUAGCGGUGAAAUGCAUAGAUAUUACUUAGAACACCAAUGGCGAAGGCAGGUUACUAUGUCUUAACUGACGCUGAUGGACUAAAGCGUGGGGAGCGAACAGGAUUAGAUACACUAGUAGUC